rnacentral:rRNA from 1 species
GGGUUGUGAGGUUAAGCGACUAAGCGUACACGGUGGAUGCCCUGGCAGUCAGAGGCGAUGAAGGACGUGCUAAUCUGCGAUAAGCGUCGGUAAGGUGAUAUGAACCGUUAUAACCGGCGAUUUCCGAAUGGGGAAACCCAGUGUGAUUCGUCACACUAUCAUUAACUGAAUCCAUAGGUUAAUGAGGCGAACCGGGGGAACUGAAACAUCUAAGUACCCCGAGGAAAAGAAAUCAACCGAGAUUCCCCCAGUAGCGGCGAGCGAACGGGGAGCAGCCCAGAGCCUGAAUCAGUGUGUGUGUUAGUGGAAGCGUCUGGAAAGGCGUGCGAUACAGGGUGACAGCCCCGUACACAAAAAUGCACAUGCUGUGAGCUCGAUGAGUAGGGCGGGACACGUGGUAUCCUGUCUGAAUAUGGGGGGACCAUCCUCCAAGGCUAAAUACUCCUGACUGACCGAUAGUGAACCAGUACCGUGAGGGAAAGGCGAAAAGAACCCCGGCGAGGGGAGUGAAAAAGAACCUGAAACCGUGUACGUACAAGCAGUGGGAGCACAGAGCAAUCUGUGUGACUGCGUACCUUUUGUAUAAUGGGUCAGCGACUUAUAUUCUGUAGCAAGGUUAACCGAAUAGGGGAGCCGAAGGGAAACCGAGUCUUAACUGGGCGUUAAGUUGCAGGGUAUAGACCCGAAACCCGGUGAUCUAGCCAUGGGCAGGUUGAAGGUUGGGUAACACUAACUGGAGGACCGAACCGACUAAUGUUGAAAAAUUAGCGGAUGACUUGUGGCUGGGGGUGAAAGGCCAAUCAAACCGGGAGAUAGCUGGUUCUCCCCGAAAGCUAUUUAGGUAGCGCCUCGUGAAUUCAUCUCCGGGGGUAGAGCACUGUUUCGGCAAGGGGGUCAUCCCGACUUACCAACCCGAUGCAAACUGCGAAUACCGGAGAAUGUUAUCACGGGAGACACACGGCGGGUGCUAACGUCCGUCGUGAAGAGGGAAACAACCCAGACCGCCAGCUAAGGUCCCAAAGUCAUGGUUAAGUGGGAAACGAUGUGGGAAGGCCCAGACAGCCAGGAUGUUGGCUUAGAAGCAGCCAUCAUUUAAAGAAAGCGUAAUAGCUCACUGGUCGAGUCGGCCUGCGCGGAAGAUGUAACGGGGCUAAACCAUGCACCGAAGCUGCGGCAGCGACGCUUAUGCGUUGUUGGGUAGGGGAGCGUUCUGUAAGCCUGCGAAGGUGUGCUGUGAGGCAUGCUGGAGGUAUCAGAAGUGCGAAUGCUGACAUAAGUAACGAUAAAGCGGGUGAAAAGCCCGCUCGCCGGAAGACCAAGGGUUCCUGUCCAACGUUAAUCGGGGCAGGGUGAGUCGACCCCUAAGGCGAGGCCGAAAGGCGUAGUCGAUGGGAAACAGGUUAAUAUUCCUGUACUUGGUGUUACUGCGAAGGGGGGACGGAGAAGGCUAUGUUGGCCGGGCGACGGUUGUCCCGGUUUAAGCGUGUAGGCUGGUUUUCCAGGCAAAUCCGGAAAAUCAAGGCUGAGGCGUGAUGACGAGGCACUACGGUGCUGAAGCAACAAAUGCCCUGCUUCCAGGAAAAGCCUCUAAGCAUCAGGUAACAUCAAAUCGUACCCCAAACCGACACAGGUGGUCAGGUAGAGAAUACCAAGGCGCUUGAGAGAACUCGGGUGAAGGAACUAGGCAAAAUGGUGCCGUAACUUCGGGAGAAGGCACGCUGAUAUGUAGGUGAAGUCCCUCGCGGAUGGAGCUGAAAUCAGUCGAAGAUACCAGCUGGCUGCAACUGUUUAUUAAAAACACAGCACUGUGCAAACACGAAAGUGGACGUAUACGGUGUGACGCCUGCCCGGUGCCGGAAGGUUAAUUGAUGGGGUCAGCGCAAGCGAAGCUCUUGAUCGAAGCCCCGGUAAACGGCGGCCGUAACUAUAACGGUCCUAAGGUAGCGAAAUUCCUUGUCGGGUAAGUUCCGACCUGCACGAAUGGCGUAAUGAUGGCCAGGCUGUCUCCACCCGAGACUCAGUGAAAUUGAACUCGCUGUGAAGAUGCAGUGUACCCGCGGCAAGACGGAAAGACCCCGUGAACCUUUACUAUAGCUUGACACUGAACAUUGAGCCUUGAUGUGUAGGAUAGGUGGGAGGCUUGGAAGUGUGGACGCCAGUCUGCAUGGAGCCGACCUUGAAAUACCACCCUUUAAUGUUUGAUGUUCUAACGUUGACCCGUAAUCCGGGUUGCGGACAGUGUCUGGUGGGUAGUUUGACUGGGGCGGUCUCCUCCUAAAGAGUAACGGAGGAGCACGAAGGUUGGCUAAUCCUGGUCGGACAUCAGGAGGUUAGUGCAAUGGCAUAAGCCAGCUUGACUGCGAGCGUGACGGCGCGAGCAGGUGCGAAAGCAGGUCAUAGUGAUCCGGUGGUUCUGAAUGGAAGGGCCAUCGCUCAACGGAUAAAAGGUACUCCGGGGAUAACAGGCUGAUACCGCCCAAGAGUUCAUAUCGACGGCGGUGUUUGGCACCUCGAUGUCGGCUCAUCACAUCCUGGGGCUGAAGUAGGUCCCAAGGGUAUGGCUGUUCGCCAUUUAAAGUGGUACGCGAGCUGGGUUUAGAACGUCGUGAGACAGUUCGGUCCCUAUCUGCCGUGGGCGCUGGAGAACUGAGGGGGGCUGCUCCUAGUACGAGAGGACCGGAGUGGACGCAUCACUGGUGUUCGGGUUGUCAUGCCAAUGGCACUGCCCGGUAGCUAAAUGCGGAAGAGAUAAGUGCUGAAAGCAUCUAAGCACGAAACUUGCCCCGAGAUGAGUUCUCCCUGACUCCUUGAGAGUCCUGAAGGAACGUUGAAGACGACGACGUUGAUAGGCCGGGUGUGUAAGCGCAGCGAUGCGUUGAGCUAACCGGUACUAAUGAACCGUGAGGCUUAACCUUACAACGCCGAAGCUGUU